rnacentral:rRNA from 1 species
GACGAACGCUGGCGGCGUGCUUAACACAUGCAAGUCGAACGGACAGGCCCUGCUUUUGUGGGGUGCUCGAGUGGCGAACGGGUGAGUAACACGUGAGUAACCUGCCCUUGACUUUGGGAUAACUUCAGGAAACUGGGGCUCAUACCGGAUAGGAGCUCCUGCUGCAUGUUGUGGGUUGGAAAGUUUCGGCGGUUGGGGAUGGACUCGCGGCUUAUCAGCUUGUUGGUGGGGUAGUGGCUUACCAAGGCUUUGACGGGUAGCCGGCCUGAGAGGGUGACCGGCGACAUUGGGACUGAGAUACGGCCCAGACUCCUACGGGAGGCAGCAGUGGGGAAUAUUGCACAAUGGGCGGAAGCCUGAUGCAGCAACGCCGCGUGCGGGAUGACGGGCUUCGGGUUGUAAACCGCUUUCGCCUGUGACGAAGCGUGAGUGACGGUAAUGGGUAAAGAAGCACCGGCUAACUACGUG